AGCACUAGGAAUAGGUGGGGACCCGGAGGUGUUUGGUUAUUCCACGCACACCGGUUGACACUCCACACUGCAGAGAUCAGCUGAGUCUACUCAACUCUGCCAGAAAAUUCCUGGAGUGCCUACGUGCAGUCACCAUCUGCUUCCUUCCCUCAACCCCCAAGGCGAGAUCAUCACACACAACUUGAAGAAAUUCCCUGUACAUAAAGAUCUGGUUUUUGAAAAACACGACUGUGAACUGUUCAAGUCCCAGCCCUGGAGGUUGGAGACACCCUGGCCGUGUGUGUGCAUGCCCCAACCUGAGAAGAUGGAAAUGGAGCAGGGGUCGGAGAGUGGCCACGCCCCACUGGGGAAAGCUUUCUCCCUAGCCUCUCUCUGCUCCUCACUGGGCAAAGGAAAUCUUCCAGCCUGAAGGCGGACUGGGGAGCCGUAAGGAAAAGCUCUGGGAGACACCGCGGCUGGGACCAUGAGCCGAGAAGCCCGCGAGGCCUGCCCAGGGACCUGGGUGUCCCCAGCAGAGGCAGCGAGUUCCCCCAGCUCUGCCCUGUGGCCGGCCCAACCGCUCUGAGUGACUCAGCAGGGGUGACCAGAGUCCACUGAACUGAUCAGUGUGGCCUUCGCCCCCCACCUGUGUAACCUGGCAUGCCUCACCCCUUCACCUGGCACACGAGAGGUGUUUCUCCCUGUGCUCACCAGGGUCAGUGGAACACGGGUUCGCAGCCUGGCCAUGUGGUAGGUGCUCCCAAGUGCUGGUUCUCGUCCCCUCCCCCUGGAACCUGCGAAUUCCAGGUGGGGACACCCUGCCGGCAGCUGUCCCGUCAAUGACAAGCACCUGCUUACCAGGUGGGACUGCCACAGGCAGCGACGAUUCAGAUGAGCGCAAAGGCCCCUGCGGAGACCCCCACACCUGUGGGUAAAUACACAGUUUUGGUGCUGUGGGUUCCCUCCUUCCUUUUAGUGAAGAAGGAAGUAGAAAAUGAACAAAACAAGCCUCCACUCACGCAAGUCAACACUACGCUUCCUUAAGUUCUGUUUUCCCAGAACCACGAAUUGCCUUGGCCACCAACUCACAUCCGAGGAGCAGACAGCCUAGGAGCAAACCGCUGUACUUAGUCUGGCGUGGGCUCAGUGAUGCCAGCGGGGAGCUGUGAGCUCAAGACCGCAGAGGAAGACAGAUUAUACCUGAAGAUCACCGGGACAGAGCCAGGACCCCGCCUCCACCCACCUGCAGGGUCCCCCUGUCCUGCCCGCCUUAGAGCACCCAUGGUUAGCAGGAGGGAUUCCCCUUGCUCGGAUAGUUUCAUUCAGUGGUGUGUAGUUGGAAAUGUAAUUUUUAAACUUGAAAAACAACAUAUUUCAUCUCUACUAAAUAUUAUGUCAGGUAUACUGCAGGGUACAAUAUGGAAAUCAUGGGAAUUUUUAGACAUAAGGAGUCUUCAAAGUAAUACCAAAAACAUCCUCAGUAGCCUUGGAUUUGAAUCCUGAGCUUUCUUAUUUAUUUAUUUAAUGAGAGUGUGUGAGAGAGAGGCAGAGAGAGCGACAGAGAGAGAGACAGCACUCUCAACAGGGCCCCGACAGCAUCAUCCCCGGCCGCAGAUCCCGGGCACGUGCGUGCCCAGUGUACUCAGGGAGGGCUCCAGACUUGAGAUGGGGCCUUCCCGAGCGGGUCAGCCUCGCAGUGGUCGUGUUCACCCUGUGCCGCUCCCUGGCCCCCAGAUCCUGAGCAUUGAGUUCAGUGACUGAGGGCAGUCACCGCUCCUGUCUGCAUAUUUCCCUCUCUGUGGACUGUGAAGAGAGCCCGCCUGUGUGCCACAGCAGGAAACUCCUACAGCACGCCCUGGUGCACAUGCAGAUAUAUCCUGGCCCCGUCCUACUGCAGUUACUCCUGGGGUAACUCAUCGGGGCAGCGGUCCUGCCCUGAACUGACCUGAGACUGUUUGCAGUCGUUACAUCAUUGAGCUCAUUUAAUGCGAGCAUUCAUUUGUUUCACUGUCAAACACAAAUGCUUAGGCGGCCCCAUGGCCUAGUGGUUAGGGGAGCCAGAUCCCCCAUGGCCGACUGCAGCUCAAAUCUUAGCCCUAGACGCUUGAGAAAUGUGGCCACAUGUGUCCGCCUAACCCAAAUUCCAACAGGAUGGGAAAGUGGAGAAGGGAUGGUGGUGUUAACACACCCCACUGGGAGGUGUUUCCUUUCUCCCUCCCUAUUUCUCUCUGAUGAGUGCAUGCACCCUCCACCAACUAGAAACAAACAACAACAAACAUGAGUGCAACUGAUUGCAGGUUCCUGCUGGGAGUGGUAAGCAAUAUUGCAUUGGGGCCAGCAGGUGGCGCUGUGGCUAAGGCACUGGGCUCGGCCAUGGCUGACCAUGAUUCACGCUCUGGACGGGGUGGGUUGAAA